rnacentral:rRNA from 1 species
AUUGAACGCUGGCGGCAUGCUUUACACAUGCAAGUCGAACGGUAACAGGCCUUCGGGUGCUGACGAGUGGCGAACGGGUGAGUAAUGCAUCGGAACGUACCCAGAGGUGGGGGAUAACGCAGCGAAAGCUGUGCUAAUACUGCAUGUGAUCUGAGGAUGAAAGCGGGGGACCGCGCAGCAAUGUUUGGCCUCGCGCCUUUGGAGCGGCCGAUGUCGGAUUAGCUAGUUGGUGGGGUAAAGGCCUACCAAGGCGACGAUCCGUAGCUGGUCUGAGAGGACGACCAGCCACACUGGGACUGAGACACGGCCCAGACUCCUACGGGAGGCAGCAGUGGGGAAUAUUGGACAAUGGGCGCAAGCCUGAUCCAGCAAUGCCGCGUGCGGGAAGAAGGCCUUCGGGUUGUAAACCGCUUUUGGCAGGAACGAAACGGUGUCCGCUAAUACCGGGCGCUAAUGACGGUACCUGCAGAAUAAGCACCGGCUAACUACGUG